GGUGGAUCGAUGAACCCGGCGA
rnacentral:miRNA from 1 species